ACCCGAGUGGCGGAACUGGCAGACGCGCCGCGUUGAGGUCGCGGUGAGAGUAAAAUCUCUUGGAGGUUCGAAUCCUCUCUCGGGUA
rnacentral:tRNA from 2 species